AGGUAGCUCAGGGGUUUAGAGCAGUCGCCCGGCAAGCGAAAGACCCGGGUUCGAUUCCCCCGGUCU
rfam:Harpegnathos saltator strain R22 G/1 HarSal_1.0_3.contig512, whole genome shotgun sequence.